UGCGUAGGCGGAAGAUUAAGUCAGUGGUGAAAUCCUGCAGCUUAACUGUAGAACUGUCAUUGAUACUGGUUUUCUUGAAUACAGUUGAGGUAGGCGGAAUGUGUAAUGUAGCGGUGAAAUGCUUAGAUAUUACACAGAACACCGAUUGCGAAGGCAGCUUACUAAACUGUUAUUGACGCUGAGGUACGAAAGCGUGGGGAGCGAACAGGAUUAGAUACCCUGGUAGUCC
rnacentral:rRNA from 1 species